rnacentral:rRNA from 1 species
UACAGAGGGUGCGAGCGUUGUCCGGAAUCACUGGGCGUAAAGGGCGCGUAGGUGGUGGCUUAAGCGUGCGGUGAAAAGCUCGGAGCUCAACUCCGAGUCGGCCGUGCGAACUGGGCUCACUGGAGCAUAGUAGAGGCAGGUGGAAUUCCGGGUGUAGCGGUGGAAUGCGUAGAUAUCAGGAGGAACACCUGUGGUGUAGACGGCUUUCUGGACCAUAGCUGACGCUGAGACGCGAAAGCGUGGGGAGCGAACAGG